AUUGAACGCUGGCGGCAUGCCUUACACAUGCAAGUCGAACGGCAGCACGGGAGCAAUCCUGGUGGCGAGUGGCGAACGGGUGAGUAAUAUAUCGGAACGUGCCCAGUCGUGGGGAUAACGUAGCGAAAGCUACGCUAAUACCGCAUACGAUCUAUGGAUGAAAGCGGGGGAUCGCAAGACCUCGCGCGAUUGGAGCGGCCGAUAUCAGAUUAGGUAGUUGGUGAGGUAAAGGCUCACCAAGCCGACGAUCUGUAGCUGGUCUGAGAGGACGACCAGCCACACUGGGACUGAGACACGGCCCAGACUCCUACGGGAGGCAGCAGUGGGGAAUUUUUGGACAAUGGGCGCAAGCCUGAUCCAGCAAUGCCGCGUGCAGGAUGAAGGCCUUCGGUUGGUUAACGUUAGUACUUUGUUACGGUAACGGAAACGGUAACGG
rnacentral:rRNA from 1 species